UUAGUAAUUUUAUUGUUAAUUUCCCCCUUUGUCCUUGCCAAAUAUUGUUUUAAUUGUUGAUAUAUACUCAUUUUUGGUAUUUGGACCUAUCUACAGGAAGUAGAACUGAAAAAUGCUAAAAAGGGAAUUUUAUUGAGGAAAAUCCUCCACACCUUAGAGCCUCCAGCAGAUAUACAAGUCGGGCCCAUAUGGUGCUACCAAAAACUCCAUUUUCGGUUGCUGAUGGAGAGCUCUCAUUAUCGGUAGUUGGCUUGUACGUGUAGGAGUCCUCCUACCAAAAGGAAACAAGAAGAGUGGAAUUGGCAGGAGCUUUCCUCUUGUACUUGGACUUCCAAUUUAUUCGGCGGGGACCACAGGAAAAAGAAAGGCAUUAGUCAUUGGACUUUGGAAGGAAAGAAACGUAGGAAGCUUUGAGAGUUGUUUUUGUUCCUUAUUUGUGGGGACCACGGAGAGAAGUGAAGCAAUUUGUUUUAGAUUAGGAGACAAUUCUUUUCCUUUGGCCGCGGCUUUAUCUUUGGGGAAUUGAGAGUUUUUUUUAGGAUAGUUUUAGUUUUGUUUCUUUCUUGGCUCUUUUGAUGGCCUGGACCUCAUUGGAAUUACUUGAAGAUUUUCUCAUGAGACGUGGCUAAGUUUGUCUAAUCAAGAACAACGGAGGACUUGGUUCUACUAAAUUUGUGAGAUCGAAUUAGUUUUUAUUUAUUUCCAUUAUUCACUGGUAUUUGUCUAUCUUCUGCUUUAUGUUCAUAUGGUUGUUUUAUUAUUCGAUUAUCCAGGGCCCGGAUUCUAGAUUAAUUCAAUAACCUGAAGCCAAUUAGGAUAGUUAAAUCCGUAAUUGUUUAAUUAUUCUAAACUGGUGGCAACUGGCAUGAUUGGGUUUGUGUCAGGGAGAUAGACAGGCUAACUUAAAGAGACCCUCGUAGCGUGUUGAUUGGUUAGAAUUAGGCUCUUCUAAUUAUUCAUGCAAUUAGGGAAUUGAACUUCUAUGGUCGUACCUAGGGUUAUUUCCUGAUUAGAGAAAUAGUCAACGGUCGUACCUUGGCUAUCGACAAAUUGAGGAAGAGUUGGUUGUUUAUCGCGUGUAUGACAACUAUAACUAAUUUAUCAGAUAGUAACUGGAAUAAUCCUUGCAUCUGUGAUCGAAUUAAGUGAACCAUCUCCGAAGUUGUCUCUUGGCUAGAGUUCAUCCAUUUUUAUUGUUAUUGUGAUAAUUAGUUAUUUGAGUUGUAGUUACUUUAUUUUAUUUUAAUUUAUUCCAAGUAAUUUAGUUACUCUCAUUUUCAAAAACCCCCCAUAUCUGGAACUUGAGAAGAAAUUAAAUUAUCCCCAGUCCCUGUGGAUUCGACCCUGCUUACCGCUAUAUACAGAAUUUGUAUUUUAUUUGAGCAGGUAUUUAUUAUUGCACAGGUUCGGCCCCUGUCAAUGGGGAUGCCUCUAAAACAAUCACUGACCGGUACAAGUUGGAGUUUAAGAAGAGAAAAAUGGAACUUGGGGGUAGGGAUGCAAAAUCUGAAUUAGAGAAAUAUUUGAAUGAGGAUUGUGAGGAAGAUGAUGAGAGAUUUGAUAUCUUGUUAUGGUGGAAGGCCAAUAGCCUUAGAUUCCCAAUCCUUUCGAAAGUUGCUCGUGAUGUGUUAGCAGUCCCAAUUUCUACCGUGGCCUCCGAAUCUGCUUUGAGUACCGGAGGUCGUGUUCUUGAUACAUUUAGGAGUUCUUUGACUCCUAGAAUUGUGCAAAGUUUAAUAUGUGCUCAAGAUUGGUUUCGAUCCUCCAAGACAGAAUUAAAUGUAGAAGAAAAUCUGAAAGAACUUGAAGCCUUCGAAUCUGGUAAGCUAUCAAAAUUUUUAUUACAGAAUUUGAAGUAUUUCUUUAUUUCUAAUAAUUGCCUUUAUGAUACUUCAUGAAUUUUGUUUGUUCUUGCAGAGUUGCUGAAGACCGGAACUGAAUCAACUAUAAUUGACCUUUGAGAGGUCACAAAUGCUGAAGUUUGCAUUUUUGAGAGUUGAACCACCUAUAAUUGUUUGUUCUUGUGGAUUGUGGAUUGUUUCUAGAUAAUUGACCUUUAUGAUUUCUGGAUUGAUUUCUGUAAUUUCUGAUUGUGGAUUUGUGAUUUGUGAUUUCUGGAUUUGUGGAUUUAUCAUUUCUGGAUAUGUAUGAAGUUUGGGAUGGUUAGUAAUUCUGAAGUUUGGGAUGGCCUCUCUUGUCACUUAGCAAAUUCUACAUCUGUUUUGAACUGGUAGCUACUGGGGAAAGUUUUAUAUGUUGUGAUUUGGUAGUGCAAUCAUCUGGCUGUUGUGCUUAUGGACGUGAUUACUACUUACUUCUAUUUUUUUCCAUUAUUUUGGUGCAGCUUUAUGAAUGAUAAUUGUAAACAGCACUUAUUUUAUUGCUAGAAAUGAUAUGGCUCGAUAUCCAUUUUUCAAAAAAUGAACCUCUGUGCAUUGUUAUGGUUUGCUUUCCAGGCUGCACUUUGCCUGGCUCCUAUACUUCAAAAAUUGUUAAUUUGUUUUUAGGCCCCUAAGUGAAUGUAUAGUUAUUAUACAAAGCAAAACAAAAGGAAAACAGGCUGCUUCAGCUUCAGGAAUUCGGACAAAUUCGAUCAAUUUGUGUUUACCGAAUUGAAUUUGAAUUCGAUAUUUGGUAAUUCGAAUACGAAUUAGGUCAAAAUAUCCCAGCACCAUUUACCAAAAAUUACCGAUUUCAAUCUACCGAAUUACCUAUUUCGAAUUCGAUGCUCACCCCUACCUGAAAGUGGUCAAGGGGAGUUGGGAUGCUACCUCCGUUGGGUCACCUCUCAGAGUUCUGUCAGAUAAGAUGCGAAAGGUGAAACAUGCACUCCGGCAGUAGUCUAGGAGUGAGUUUGGGGACAUUUUCUUGGCAAGCCGUAUGGCAGAGCAAAGGGUAUUGGAAGCUGAGAUAGCUUAUGAUAACCAACCAUCGGACGAGUUGCUUUUGAAUUUACAAGAGGACCGUGCGAAAUUGAGAUGGGUCGUGGUGGUUGAAGAAGAUUUCUGGAGGCAGAAAGCUCGAGGUAAAUGGCUCUCAGACGGUGACAAGAAUACGACAUUUUUUCACGCUGCCGUGACGGAGAGGAGGAUGAAAUCGGUUAUACAUAGGAUUCGGAAGACCAAUGGGGAGUGGGUGGACAACGAAACAAGCAUUUGUGCUGAAGCCGUUUCUUUCUUUGAGAAUUUGUUCACAGAGGAGGGAAGCAGGCCGUCCAGCGAGAUAUUAGAGAUUAUCCCAAUGAUACUCACUGAGCAGGAUAACAUGGAGCUGACAGAGGUCCCGUCACUAAACGAAGUCAAGAAAGUCAUUUUUUCGAUGGAUGGGGAUAGUGCGGCGGGCCCGGAUGGCUUCACAGGGAAGUUUUUUACUGAGGCAUGGGAGGUGGUGGUUGAGGAUGUUCACAGGGCGAUCAUGAGCUUCUUUUGUAGAGCGAUGCUACCACGAAGUGUCACUGCUACUGCUAUCGUGUUACUUCCCAAGGCACAGUGUCCACAAGAUUUUACUCAAUACCGAUCGAUAAAUUUGUGCAACUUUGUCAACAAGGUAAUUUCCAAAAUUUUAUCCUCCCGUUUGGCUAGAGUUUUGCCUCGUAUUGUCUCUCCACAGCAGAGUGGCUUUGUGCCUGGACGGCAGAUGGCAGAUAACUUUCUUCUUGCUCAAGAGUUGUUGAGUGACACAAAGAAACCCAAUCGGGGCGGGAACGUGAUGCUCAAAUUGGGCAUGAUGAAAGCUUAUGACAGGAUUUUCUGGGUUUUCUUGAUACAAGUACUGCAGCGUUUUGGGUCUAGCGAGAUAUGGAUUGACAUGGUUUGGCGGUUGAUCUCUAAUAUCUGGUUUUCUGUUAUCGUGAAUGGAUUACCGCAUGGGUUCUUUAAGUCCACGCGAGGGUUGCGGCAAGGAGAUCCAAUUUCACCGGCCUUGUUUGUGAUUGGAGCAGAGGUUCUCUCUCGGGUUUUAAAUGCGUUAGCGGGGCAUCGUAGCUUCCGACCGUUCAAAAUCCCGAGUGGCUACCCUCUAGUGACUCAUUUGGCAUAUGCUAAUGACGUUGUGAUCUUCACGAGCGGCCUCAAGGCCUCGAUCAAGUUGGUCAAAGGGGUUGUCGAUGGAUAUUGUGGGGUGUCGGGCAGAAAGUUAAUUGUCAGAAGAGUUGUUUCUCGGUGCACCCAGCUUUUCCCCCGCAAAGGCGCGCAAUGAUUGGAGUGGUGACAGGUUUCUCGUACAAAUCAUUCCCAAGCAAAUACCUUGGCUGCCCGCUAUUUAUUGGACGGCGUAGAACGAGUUACUUUGGAGAGAUUUGCAAUAUCAUAAUCACUAGAAUCUUAUCAUGGAAGCAUCGAGUUCUUUCGACUGGGGGUAAGAUAGUACUGCUACGGAGUGUGUUGUCUUCGAUGUCGAUUCAUUUGUUGGCAGUGGCUACGCCGCCGAGGAGGGUUUUUGCCUUGCUGAAAAAGGUGAUGGCGAAUUUCUUGUGGGGCUCGACAAAUUUUGGACCUAAGUUCCAUUGGAUUAGUUGGGGUGAUUUGUGCCACCCACACGAGGAAGGUGGGAUCGGCGUUCGGAGUAUUGUGAAGGUGUAUGAUGCUUUUUCCAUUAAGCUCUGGUGGACCUUUAGGCAACAACAAUCUCUGUGGGCAAAGUUUCUCUCAGCAAAGUACUGUAAAGGGGUCCAUCCAUGCCUGGCAGAGGGUGCCAACUCACACUCUUCAAUGUGGCAGAAACUAUGUUCGGUCUAGCAUUUGGCAGAGGAGCACGUCAGUUGAUUCUGAAUAAGGGAUUGAUGGAUUUCUGGCAUGAUAAUUGGUUGGGGACAGGAGCCAUAUGCCAUCGGGUAGAGAUUUUUCAUGAACAUAGAGUUUCAGAUUUUGUCACACAGGCAAGGUGGAAUUUGGGGCUACUCAACCAAGUUUUAGAGCCUGGGGUGGUGAGGCAGGUCAUAGAUGUUCCCCCUCCUUCCUCUCAAGGGUAUGACAGGAUGGUUUGGGCUUUAACGCAGGAUGGAGUGUUUUUUAUUGCCUCGGCGUACUCUCUGGUUGUGCAGGCGUCUAAUGGGUCCUGGGUGGCCUCCUAAUUUUGGCUUAAGGGAUGCCCAAUCAAGAUCUCUUUCUUCAUGUUACGGCUCCUACGGCCAAGGCUUCCCAUGUCGGAUGUUCUACGUAAAUUUGGGAUUCACGGCCCAUCUAGGUGUCACUGUUGCGCGGUUCCAUACGAGGAGGGGCUUGACCAUAUUUUUUGCACAGGGGAUGUAGCAACGGAGGUUUGGAGUAGUUUCGAGGACCCAGGAGAGAUGGGCAGGGUGUCCAAUUUGCGGCACAGGGUGCUACAGUGGUGGUUGCGCUGCGGGCAAAAUGUGUACCUCAAAUUCGUCUAUCGGCUGCUCCCUAUGCUCACCUGCUGGGAACUGUGGAAAGCACGAAACAAGGGGGUCUUUGAAGGGAGGAGGAUGGUGGGUAUUGAGGUGGUGCGGCAGGUUUUUCACCAAUUAAGGGACUUAUUUCAUGGCCAAUUUCCGGAGAUAACAUUUUCGUCGGGCUCUUGGGAAGGGUUCUACUCUUCUUUGUUGGCUUUGAGAAGGAGGAUGUCAAUACUCCUAGUGCGUUGGAUGGCUCCCACAGUAGGGUGUAAGUUGAAUUCAGAUGGUUGUACUAGGGGGAACCCGGGAGUUAAUGGGGGUGGAGGCGUGGUGAGGGACUCGGAAGGGCAGGUCAUUGUCGGAUAUUCCUGUUUCUUUGGCUCCUUGACGAGUUUACACGCGGAGCUCAAGGCUAUGGCAUUUGGGGUCCAAUUAUGUGUAACCCAUGGCUUGCAUGACCUCCACAUCGAGGCUGAUUCGCUAGUUUUGGUGGAGAUUCUACAAGGGAAACUGGGAUGCCCGUGGAGACUACAAUGGGAGUUGGAGGGCUUGCUUAGAUAUAAGCGUCAUUUCCGGGAAAUCACGCAUUGCUAUAGAGAGGCGAACAAGCCGGCUAAUUUUUUGGCAAACCUAGGAGCUGACACGGAGCUGGAGACGAUUUAUGGGAGUCAUAGCGAAUUGCCUGUGCGGGUCCGGGUGAGAUCCAGAUGGAGCAGUUAUGAUGAGAACAUGAAGAUUUAGAUUCCCUUCAAAUUCAAGAAAAUUCAAAUUGAUGGUUGAUGGUGCAAUCGGGUUCAAGAAUCAUUGAAGAUUUGCCAUGCUUAUUUCUUGUUAUUUAUUUAAGUAAGUUUCCAGCAAUACUUGUUAGUUAGUCUUGAGUUAUUAAGGGAAAUAAAGGCUAAGGUCAUGUUGACUGUAGUUAAACCAAUUGAGUCAGUUAGUUUCCUAUUCCAAUUGAAUUAGAGUUUUAGGAAAGUAGUUAAUUGAUUCCAAAUUUAUUUAGGAAGUUGUGUCAAGUCAAAUAAGGAAGCUUGUAUUGUUUCCAAGUUUAGAUUAGGGUUUUGAGUCUUGUAAGGCUAUAAAUAGCCAACUUUAUUUAACAAUUCAGAUACAUGAGAUUGAAGAUGAAUUAAUAAAAAGAGAGUUGUUUCCUUUUAUGGAGUUCCUUGAUGGAACUUGCGUUUCUCCUUGAACAGUAUCAAAUAUUUAGCUUGGAUACUUGUGGUGUUCAAGGCAAGAUGAUCAUAUCAUCUUGUUCUUUCAAGCUAAUAACCAAUCCACUAGGUUUUUAGAGAAGGGUUCUCUUUAGGUCUAGCAAGGUAGUUAUUGUUCCAUAACCAAUAACCAAUCCACUAGGUUUUGAGAGACGGGUUCUCUUUAGGUCUAGCAAGGUAGUUAUUGUUCCAUAGCCUGAUCAAGAUAGAUCCUUCCGCUGCCUGAUCGACUUGGUUCUUCAAGACAGGUUCUUGUUGGGUCGAGUUUGUAUCAAAUUAGGUUUCCCAAAUUUUCGUAGGAGACUCUUGAGUUGAGGGUUGUGCCUUCCCUCAGGCGGAGGAAAGUAGGCUAACCUGGGAGCUUGGCUAAUUCGGGAUUCUUUAGAAAUAAGUAACAUAUACAUUUACUGCCAUGUGAUAUUUUUCUCCAAUUUGGGUUUGUUGGCAGGGAGUUUCAUCCAUUUAUAAGGGGAAACUCUGUCAAAUUUUUUUUAAAAUAAAUAAAAUAUUUGUUUAAAAAAAAAAGAUGUUUGAUUAGAAUUAAAACCCCUUAAUGGUUUAAUGCAUAUAUUAUUUUCAAAACAAAUGAUUCUUUUUUUUUUUUGUACGUAUGCUGGACUUCUUACCUUUAAUUUCUCUGUCUUUUCCACCCUACCCAAUCCUCCCCAAAUGAUUCUAUAUAAUAUGCUUUUAGUGUGCAAUUCCUCAUAUUCCUCGGUAUAUGUGCUUUUAUAUACUACUUGUAUAGUUGGAUUGCAUCAUCUUUUACACUAGAUUACUUUUCUAUUAAGAAGUGUAACUAAAGAGUGAUACUGGUAGGGAAGGAGUAGAGUAAAUUUAUAAUAUUAAGUUUAAAUUUUUCUAAAAGAAAAAAAAAUAAAAGACCAAACCGGAUAAUUCAUUCGUUCUUUUAUUUUUUGUGCUAUAAAAAGGUUAAAAGUACGAACAGUACAAUUAGUUCUUCAAAAUUCCCUUUAACUUUGAAAUGCUUAUGCACAGCAAAGGAAUCACAGAGUGGGAUAGAUGGGUUCUAUGGCAAUCCCACACAUUCCUUCUUUGGCAGCAAUAUCCCUUUCCAUCCUCAUGUAUCCAUCCUCUCCCCAUCCUUUACCCCAUGAAUUCUUGAUCCUCCAAUACUUCAAUGGGGAAUUACUGGUACCAUAACCAACCAAUGUUACACCAUGAUCUAUGUCAGUUCCACAUUCACCCGUGAAAACACCACCUGCAUAGAACUGGAAAUCUGCACCUGAAGCAUCAACCAUUACGGCCACUGGUUGGUCAGUUAAUGCUUGUAAAAGUGCCUUCUCAUUGUCUGCUGGGACGUAGUUGUAGCCACUGAUCUUGGCCACUGGUUCUUUUUCCUUCUUGGUGUCACAAGUGCCUUUAUUAUCUUUGGGAGGGUAGUUGCUCUCAGUCGUAAGUCCAUGUUGUUUGAUGAACUCAAAGGCAUCUUCUGUGGAGCCUUGAUAACAAUCAAGACCAGUGCUGCAGUCCACAAUUUCUUGAUUUGACAGCGUGUAUAGCUGUCCUGUUUUGAUCUUGAUUAGGGCUUCCACAGCAUCAACAGCAGGAAUUGUCCAAGCACCUGGGUAAUUUGGUUGUGUGCAUCAUAAAUUAGAGAAUUCUAACAGUCAUGAUUUGUGUUAAUUAAACAACUGGAAAAAAAAAAGAAAGAAAAACCUCUGUCCAAAUGAUUUCUUUUUGUUUUCAUUUUAAGAAAUUGCUAUAUCUUUCCUUCUCUUUCCCCUGUAAGGUUUGAAAUCUUCCCUUUGAACAAAAAAGAAAAAAAAUACGACUCUCUGAUUCUAUGCAGGAUUGACCUUAGUUGUACACCUUAACUACCUACCAUAAUAUAACUAAAAAUAUAAACGAAAAUGAUAAUUAGGUCCGACCUUUGGUCAUAAUUGGCUGAGGAAAGAUGGCAGUCUAAUUUAAAAGCUCUUAUUGUAGAUAAGUUUUAAGACUCUUCAAUACAUGCAACUAGAGUGCCAGAGUCUCUUUAAUGUGAAGUUUAUUAUAAAAUUUUCUCAAAUGAUUGUGUGAGAGCAAGGCCUUAAUCACAUCUAAAUCCAGUGAGACAGUUUAAGGAAUGGAAUCUCAUCCAGAAAUCCAUUAUAAAGCAAGGCCUUUUAAAGGGAGUAGCAGUGUGCCAUAAAAGACCAAGGACAACAAAUUAUAUUCUUGAAUACAAAAGCAAAGUCGAUAGUACUCUUGCAAACACAAUAAUAUCUUCCUGAAAUCAGGAUACGCUACAGAUCUAAACAAAAUUCAGAUGAACAAAGAAGCCCUUCUGGUUUCUUGAACAGGCCAAUUUUUGGAGUUUUCUCUUUACAUCUUUUUCAAAGUUUUUGUCUUCGUCAAACUUUUGUGAUUCUAUGGGAUAAUUUUCAACAAAAGCCUUAGUGUUAUGCAUUUUCUAUUUCGAAAGAUAACAUAGAUUAAUAUGUUCAUUUGACUAAAAUUGACAAAUGUACCAAUGGUAGUGGGAUGGUGGGAUAUCCUAACUUACCACAUGACACUUCGCGGAUUGGUGCAACAGCUCCCUUUCUCCUCCAAUCCAAGCUAGGGGGAAUUGCAGUAACAAUUUUAUCAUACUCAGAAGAAGACAGGAUUGCUGUUGACUUGUCCUUGGAGGGGCUUCUGUGCCCAAUAUGAGCUGCUUUGAACUCUUCAUUGGUCAAAUCCGCAAAUUGAUUGGCACUUAGCUUAUAUGGUUUGUUACCUGCUCUAUUAACCAAGUCAAUGUACUCCACAUUGGCCUUGAAUAUUUGGUAACGCUUUUCCUUCUCUGCAGUGUCCUUGUAUUGACGCCCAUAACCAGCCAUCCAAUGCUCAUGUCUUUCAAUCAUUGAAACGUCACUGAUUACCCGAGACCUGGCUUGGAAAACCAUCCACUGAAUCAGAAGAAUAGAGAAGAAUUGCUUCACAGAUUUUGAUGCCAUUAUGCUAAAAAAAGUUACUAGAAAAACUUACUUGAUUUAGUAGUACAAUCACAUGAAAUCAUGUCACUUAUAUAGGUUUGAAGGGUUAGAUUUUUAAACUUCUUAAAAUUAUGAUAGUGCCUAAUAUGAAUGUUGUUUUCCUACUUUCCGUGAAUGGCAAAGUAAUGUCCUUCUCUAUUUUCUUUCAGUUUGUAGCUUAUGAAUGUCAUCUUGUAGAAUUUCUUUAUCUAGUUUUAUGAGGUUUUCGGAAUGAGCUUCUUGAAAGUGACUAAUUUGAUAAAUUUCCUUGCUCAAUAACCAUUACCAUUUAGAAAUGUCAAUGAAGACAUUUGUAUGAUUACAAUCUGGUAGUCAAUUUUUGCUGUUUACAAGAAUAUUCAGUUUCAUGAUCAUGGUUUUGGUUGUGAGCAUAGUGAAGCCUAGAGAUAAUAGAGAGAGAGAGAGAGACUAAAAUUGGAAUCACACAUUCUAACUUUUGUGUUUAACUACAGCUCAUGAAGGUUCAAACCUUGAGGAAAUAAUUCACUAGUAUGUGACAAAUAAAGAUAGUUAAAAGUAUAAUGCGUUUGAAAUGGAGAAUUAUCUGCGAAAUUGAGUUUUUGUUGUCGUGUUAUGAGUUUCUAGACUAACUAGUUUUGUACCCGUUCGUUGAACGGGAAUUGUCGAAAAAAAUAAACUAUUUAGUCAAUUUUAUAAAAAUAUCGAUAUGAAAUACAAAUUUAAUAUAUAAUCUAUUAUAACUUGUCUUAAGUAUAUUACUAUGUGCACAUUGUAAUAUAAAGUAUUCUUAUAAUAUAAAUUUGAACAUCUAAUUCAGUGAAUAAUAAUUCAAAAUUGAAAAAAUAACAUUCAACAAUACCAUAACAUUCAAAAACUUGAAAAUAAAUAAAAAGUGCAGUAAAUAGUAUCAAAUAAUAUUCUACUCUUCAGAAACUUGUUUUUGUUUUUCUUCUGUUUGAACAUUCUCCUCGAUUUGUCCGUGCAACUCAGCAUUUAUUGAUUUUCCAUUAUCGCUGCAUGAUAGCAAAGCAAGAUAACUAAGUAUAAAAAAAAAAAAAUGAUUUAUCGCAUUCAAGGUUGUGUAUAACAAUACGUAAAGAUUAUAAUUUAAGAAAGUAAAAUAGUAUAUUAAAUCUAUCUUCUCAUGCAAAUCUUUUUAUGAGGAUUCCCUUCCUCUGUGGUUUUUGUUGAACCUCUGAUGAUUGAUUCAUAUGAAGUGUAUUGAAAUGCUGUUGAUUAGAAUCAUCUGUUGUACUAAUUAGGAUCUGGGAAGAAGAUGUUUCAGGUUGGUAUUGGUUGUCGUUCCACCAAUCUGAUAAUGAUUUAUCAAAAUUAAAGGUAAAAAUAUUAUGUGAGAUAUAAUAUGUGAAACAUAAGAGAAAUGUAUUGCACAUUACCUGUGAAAGCAUGAAAUGCAUUUCCUCCGAAAUCACAGUGGAACCAUCUAGUCACUGUAAAUCUAUUAUUACCUUGUUCCAGAUUGUAAUUGUUCAACUUGAUUUAGAACACAAAAGAUUUCCAAGUGAUCUUGUUUAUAAUUGUUGACACGAUUUCAUUGCUAAAUCCUUCCUGGAAAUGAAAUGCGUAAUAGAUUUUUUUUUUUUGUUAGAAUAUUCAACGGCUAAGAUAAGUGUCGGAUUGUCUACUAUUAUUAAAAAUAUUUUAAAAAAUUAGAUAUAAGUUACCUUGAGAAAGUUUGUGUUCUAUUAUUCUUUCAGCCUCUUAAUCAAAUAUAACAAACCAAGUACUACCGAUUGCAUCACUUACCAAGACUUUUAACAUAUACCUGUAUAAAUACACAUAUUCUAAAAGUUAUGUUUAUGUAGAUAUUGUAGCAAUUAAAAUAAUAAAAAGGUUAACACCUACGACAUACCUCAAUUUAGGAUACUCCACAUUUUGAUUGCAAGCAUUACACAGUUUAGGAUACUCCAUAUUUUUCUUACAAUACAGGGCCCUGGAUGUCGACUACUGACAACAUUGGAGAAUACUCCUUGGAUGUCGACUACUGACAGCAUUGAUAGUGGUAGCUAAUAUUCUAAAUGUAGAUAGAAUUUGCUUCUAAACUUCUUGAUUAUGAGAGCAAGGAAUUGAUGUAUUCUGCAAAGCACUUUCAUAGCGCUAUUUAUGAAGCAUAGACUAUAAGUGUAUAUAGCCAAUAGUUGCCGGAAGUUCAUGUUGUUUAAGUGAUCAGGUUCCUGACCUCUCUUCUAUUUAAACUAUGUUGGUAAGACAUAAGGCUGGAUACUUUUUUAAAAAACCUUGUGAAACCAUUCUCAAGUAUUUAAUUAAGUAAACGGCCAGAGUCUUUUAAUUAACUAAUGAAUUUGCAGAUAUAUCUAAUAGAGAUAUUUAAGUCUCUUGUAUUUAUAUUGCAUUACUUUCCAGUGCCUUUUGUUUUUGGUUGUUUUUCCUAAAGGCAAAUUAACAAACAUCUUAGCAUAUGAUCACAAAAAUCAAUUAACAAACAUGUUAGCAAGAAUCCUACAAAAAUAACGAUGAAGUAAUUGUUUAAAUCCUAUGUCUUCAUACAAAACAAAUAGAAAAUAAAGCCAAAAAAAUAAAAUUCAAGAUAUGUUACUAAACUCUUACAAUUGAAGAUCAACAUGCCUUUUUUAAAAAAAAAAUGUAUUAAAAGAAGAUGUACCUGAUAAUCAAGAGGAGUGGAAACCCAAAAUCGAUGCUUUAAUGUACCAACCGCUUGCACUGAAAAUACCUAACCAUGAAUUUGAUGCUUGAAAUCAAUAUAUUAUGGCUAUAUGUAGUGUAGGUAUAAGAAAUAAGAAUUGAUAAGGAUAUAAAGAGAUAUUGAUAAGAACAUUAAAAGUAGGUUUAUCUUGAUUUAAGUUGCUUAAAGUACAUAACUUUGGAUAGGAAAUAAGAAUCUUAUAAUAUUAAGAAUUCUUAUAGGAAAUAAUAAUUGAUAUAAAUCCAAAAAAAAGGAGCAAACCACGUAGGAAACUACUUGACGUCUCGUUAAGCCACAUAGGAAAGAGAAAAUAUGAAAGGAUAAGAAUGAGAAUACGACUUUAUUAUAUAUAUAUAUAUAUGAUUCGCCGGUUAGUUUCAAUAGUGAUUUUGGAAGAGAUUUUGGAGAUUUUUAACGUAUCACUUUCUUGAUAACAAUGUUAUUUAAUAAAAAUGAUGUCUAGCAAAAUUUACUUUCACGAUAUCCUUAUUUUGGGUUUGAAUUCCUAAUCUACAAUUUAAAAAUGAAUACUAAAUCUCUUAUAAUGGCCAAUUUGUCUUUGACAAUCAUAUGAAUAACAUUCUCUAUUAUAUUAAUUUGUAAAACACUAGUGAGGCAAAUAUCUAAUUCUGAAAAGGAUUUUUUUAAAAAAAAUUUUAAAAUUCUCAAACAGUGAAAAUAGAACUUUCAGAUCUCUGUCCUAGAUCCAUUUUUUUUAUCUCCAAAGUCAUGAUCCCUCCUAAGAGAUCAAUCUAAAAUUAAAGCACGAUUGCAAGCAUACAUUUUGGUAACUAAGCUGUCUUGAUCAACUUAAAUUGCUUAAAAUAUGUGUACCGAUGAUCAUGGAACUUUUUUUUUCUGGUAACAUCUAAAAGGCUUCCAAGGAGUCAAGGAAGACAACCAAAAGUUUGCACAUCCGAUCUAAAUAUUAGCAAAAUAAAUUCGGUAGGCCAAUAAGUUGUGGUUACUUGAGCUUGGGCUAAUGAGGGUUUAGAUUUUGGAUGGUUUCUUUCCUAUCAUCAAUUGGGUGAGUAUUGUGCGCUACCCAUGGUGAGCCAUUGGACUUGGGGACCGCAUUUGCCUUUCACAUUUUUACAAGUAUUUUAAUUUGGUACAUUAGCACUUUUUUUUUUUUCUUAUAGGGAUAAUUUCAAAAACCUCCCUUGAGGUUUUUGACAAUUUCACUCGGUUCCCCUUAGAUUUAAGAAACUACACUUACCCCUUGAUAUAGUAAAAUAUCUAUAAUGCCCUCCACUUAGUAGACAAUUUUAAAUUUAAGACAAUAAAUUUUCAAAACCUAAAAAAAUCUAUUUUUCUGUCUCUUGUCUAUUUUCUAAUUAAUAUAACCUUUUUUUAGAGAUAAUUUCAGAAACCUCCUCUGAGGUUUUUGACAAUUUCACUGAGUUCCCUUGAGGUUUUCAAUAUUACAAUUACCUCCCUUGAUGAAAGACAAUGACUAUAAUAACCUUCAUAAUUUUUUAAAAGACAAGCCAUUGAUAAAAAGGGAAAAAAUAACAGAAAAAAGGAAAAUGAAAAAAGGAAAACAAUUCUUCUUGACCAGGCCAUAUAUUAUGGCCAAACUAUUUCAGUCGUGGCCAUUAAAUUGUAACCUUCUAUCACUUAAUAUGCUAAUCAAGGUAGAUGUUUUCUUCCCUCUAUCACUCAAAUAUGCUACUGCUAUUGAUGAUGAUAGAAGCAAUCAUCACGGCCAACAACCCAAUUCUUCAUAUCAUUGAGUACAAAAAAACUAUUGGAUUACGGAAAAAUAUAAUUUGAUAGACUGUACUAAAAGUACUACCCCAAACUUGCAUUUUGUUGAUGUUUUGCCUGGUUCCUCUUUUAAUAGACAUCAAACUUGUUCUCAAUAAAAUCGUCUCGGUUCAGAUAAAAAAAAAUGUGGGCUAAUAUAGGAUGGCCAACCCAAAUGUUGAUAGCAGAGGUUAGAAAAAUUUUGGUAAGUAAGGGUUUGGCCAUUUGAGCGGGAAAAAGGUAAGGAUUGUGAGUUUUAUGACUAAUGGUUUAGUAGACAACAUAUGCAAGAAACCUAUAGAGAGGUAAAAUUGUGAAAGUAAGAAUUACAACAAUGGAUUUUGGCAUCUAAGACAAAGAGUUUGUUCGAAAGAAGAAAAAUGAUAAGAGUUUGAAAGUUUUGGUGGAUGUAGAAAAUCAUGAGGAUAAAAAAUAUCAAGACAUUGGUUAAGUAAUAAAGCUCAUAAUUUUGGUAGUACACAAGUGUAUUCUUGACUUUUAAAAAAUUUUAAUGAUUAUUCAUAUUAAGGAAAUUUAGAUGAGAGCAAUUUUGGGCAUUCAUAUACUUUUUUGGUCUUACAUCAUCAAGUUGAAAUCCAAACCCAUGUUCUAGGGGAGGUAUGUAUAAUUUUCAAAUCGUGAGGGGAGCUUUCUGAAAUUACUAGAAACCUCAAGGGAGGUUUCUGAAAUUAUCCCCUCUUUUUAUUAUCUUUAGUUUUGUGGAUAUUAACAAAUUGAAAUUACAAAAUCUACAAAGAGAGUAGAUUAUGUGUCAUACUAGAAGAAAUGAAGAGACUCACAGUGAUAGAGAAAUAAAUAAUGAAAUAGAUGAUUGAAAUAGAAAAAAGAACUAAAGAUGUGGAAUUAUUCAUAUUUUGUUUGUUGUUAAGAAAAACUUUUAUAAAAUGUCAAUAAUUACAUAAUGAUUUCUUUCAUCGGAUUAGAAAUUUUUUAUUAUGAUUUUAUUGUGGAAGUAUAAUUUAUUCUCUACUUUUAAGAUAUUAGUAAUAUUUUUAAGGGCAUCGGAGAGUUGUAAUAGUGGUUCUAGGUCAAAUUAGUUUAUAUUGAAGAGGUAUUUGAGCAUUGGUAUUUAAUUUAGGGGUAUAAAAUUAGUUGUCAAUGGGGUUUUUGUGUGUUUUUUUAAUCGUGAUAAGUAUUCAUAUUGUAUAUGUAAUUUAGGAUUUUUUGGAUGGCUACUUGAUUUUAGAACUUAUACUUGGAUGAUUGUUAAGGAUUUGGCUUGUUGAUUUAUGCAAAGUGUGGAAGAAAAUGUUGAUUUAUGCAAAGUGUGGAAGAAAAUGAUUGAGUAUAUAAUAUUUUUGUUUCUUAGUUUGGUACAAAAGGGCAAUUUAGGAUUCUUGAAAGAAACGCUAAGUUAUUGGACCUACAUUGUUACUAAAUAAUAAAAGUAGGAGAGAAUAUGUAAUUUUAAAAUCUGAGAGGAGCCCUUUGUAAUUAUGAGAAAGCUCAAGGGAGGUUUGUGAAAUUAUCCCUUAAUGUUUCAUCUUCGGCGUGGUCGUAAGGAACUGAUACCUUCGUCGUUCGUAUUAUAGGAUUCGUAACAUUUUUGGAUAAUUUGCAGUUGUAAAAAUAUGCAUGAUAAUGGAAUAGGAAUUUGGUGAAAAUUUUAAGUAAAUUAAAUAUAUAUAAAUUUGACUGCCUAUAUUGAAUCACACCAUUGGAAAGUAAUCAGUGAAUUCUGAUUUUGAGCAUGGUGAAUAAGUUGGACAGGUUUUUCAGUUAUGUAGAAUUUGAAGAUUUUUACUGACUAAUUUUGUUAGAUUAUAAUACAGUCCAUAUUUGCCAUCAUGUCAUCAAGUUAAAUUCACCGUGAGAUGGUGAAAUAAUUGUUUUUAAUUCUUAGAUCUUAAUAAUUUCAAUGAUUUAAUAUAGAAGCUGCUAUUUCCAUUAAAAGAUACAAGUUCAAGGAAUAAUACUCUAAAGGAACCAUAAAAUUCUCCUAUAAUACAAGAUGCAUGUACAGGUGAAAACUAGUGACCUGAGUUGAGGUCAUCGCUAGAUGAGCUCACCUGCAAAACAAAAAGUGGCUGAGACUAUGUUGCCAGUUUCACUCCAAUGCAUAAGUCAGAAGUUGUCGGGAGUUAUAUUGAGUGGUUUGGAUUACCUAUCUUUCCAAGUGAGUAAGGUGUUGAUAUUUAUACUAGAAAAGAUAGGUAAUAGAAUGAUGAGAUCUACUGUUAGUCUAAUCUCGUAAAAUAAGAUAUGACAGUAAUAUCAAUUGUAGGAUUGAAUCAUAGAUUGUCACAUCAAUCACAUCAAUCACAGUCACAUCAUAGUGACGAGCUGAAACUUUUGAUACCUCAGGUAAAUAAGCCAUCCCUAGAUUAAUUCUCGGUGAGGGCGAUUAGGCCAAGGUAUCCUCUGGUCCAGGCUAACCGAGAUGUUUUCUUAGUUAAUGUGACUGAGGUAAUCAUAGUAGACAUGAGAACUUUUAAAAACUUGGACAUGAAAAAGAAAAACAUACAAGAAUAUCCGGGGCCAUAGAAUUUUUCUGUGAUAUAAGGUGGACUUGGAAAAAUGCUUGCAAAAACAUGGAUAUGGAAAAGAACCAAAAGAAAAACAUACAAUACUAUAUCAAAGUACCAUGGAUAUGGUGAUUACAUAAAUGACAAAAACAUAAAUUUUAUCCAGUACCAAAAAAGAGAGUAAGAGACGAAACAAUUACAGGAUACUAAUUAGACAAUCAAUAAAUUUUAUGAAUAAAAAAGUUUUAAUUGGCUUCAAAUUAUUCAUUUAAGCAAGAACCCUUCUAGCCAAGCAAGCAGAUUUUUGACCCAAGUGCGUUUAGUCAUUUUCCAUUCUUUUGGAUGUAGUAUAUAAACUUACGCCUCAUGAUAUACUAUUCCAAUCAUGGAAAAUGGUUAUAUUUUCAUAGCAUCCACAUUUUCGUGCGACUUAACCUUUUUUUUUUUUUGAGAAUUCAAAUUAUUUUAUAUAUCUAUAAUUAGUUUACCUUUUCCUCGAAAAAAGGUCCUUAUCUAAGCUAACUAGGGAUCCCACAAUCAUUUGACCAAUGUUCUUAUCAAUUAAGUUGGAUCUUGAGAACCGUUGUCUCAAAUUUGACAAGGGCUUUAUAUCAAAUUAUUUUUUUUUCAAUGUAAAAACUUAUGAUUGUUUGGGUAACAAAAGUAGAAUGUACGAUAACACUAAUUCAAUAUCAAAAGUUUUUUUUCUGGUAAAAAAUUUUUAACAAAUUUUUUCGAGAUGCCAAUUGAGUUUUUUGCAAUCUUAGGGACAUGCCCAUCUGCCUAAAACUUAUGAUUGUUUGGGUAACAAAAAUAGAAUGUGCGAUAACACUAAUUUAAUAUCAAAAGUUUUUUCUCUGGUAAAAAAAUUUUAACAAAUUUUUUUUGACAAAUUGGCAAUUGAGUUUUUUGCAAUCUUAGGGACACGCCCAUCUGCGUCCAUUCUUCGGUACACAAUAAAAUAGGAAAGAGUAAAAAAUAAUUAGCUACAAUAUUAAUCCAGAGAUUAAUUGAAAGAGGUAACUUGAUAAGAAAAAUUAAAAUUGGGGGUAGAAAACAAAUUAAGGUAAACCUUCAAGGACUUCGACGACAAUCUUAAAUCCUAACGCCAUAAUUAAAAUCGUAAAACCCUUCGCAGAACCCUCUAUUCUUAUAGACCAGCAAGAAGAGCAGACCUGUCAGGCUGAUUUGAGGAUCUUCCUUCCGGUAAAAUUCAUUCUCAACCCUUCUUGUUGUUUCAUAGCCUUUCGGGCUUUUUUUUUCUUUUAUUUUUCUUUUUCCUCGGAAUUUUGAAUGUAAUUGAUUUGGGCCCUGAAAGCUGAAUUUCAUUUCCCUUGAUUAUGAUCUAUUUUGUAUAGUUCUUUUAGUUGCUUGGCUUUUUUUUUUGGGUUCAUUAAUUUUUUUUCUAUGAUCAUCUUGAUUUUGGAUAUUUUGAUAAUUUCGAUUGUGAUAUUCUUACAUGACAUAAAAAUAUUACAUUGUGAUAUUGAAGUAAAAUGAUUAAUGUUUUCGCCAUUUAUCAAACAAAUUAGGAGCAUAAGAUUGUGUUGGGAGGUAAAAAUAUGAAUUAAUAGAUUGAUGAGCUUGGAGCUCCAUCAUUUUCUUUCAUUCAGAAUUACUAAGCAUGAUCAAGGUGGUUGUAUCUAAUGUGAGAGAGCAGGGGAGCUGCUCCAUUCUUGAAUCAAGGUGUUUGUGGCGCGAGAAGGGAGGCCAUCUGUGACGAGUAUUUUGCUGCAUUAAGUAGAGAAGCUUAAAAGUUAAUUUGGAAGUUGAAUGCUUGAUGGUAAGUUAAAGAAAAGCUUACUGGAGGAAUUUGCUUGUAUUUCUGCAGAAGUGUAUUGUGGGGUCAUAAGUGGCUACUUUUUUGGUUGCAGUUUACAAACGUUGUCAUUUUUGUUGUAGGAUGAUACCCGUAAUACUCAUGGUGUAAAUUUUGUUGCAGUUUUUAUCAAAAGGUACCGUUGUAAGCUAGAGAUCUAUAAGUGGAGAAGGUUUUUGUGAUACUGGAUGUAUUUGCUUGGACUUUUGUGGAAGUCCCAUUUGGGAGUCGUAAGUGGCUAACUUUUGUCACUGUAGUUUCCUAACUUUGUGAUUGGUAACUGUAGGAUGAUAAGAGCAGUGCCUAUGCAUUUUUUUUUCCAGCUUUUUGUUCAAUAGGUACUGAUCUUAUAGUUGCAACAGUAAAAUUUGAUGUCUUGGACGCCAGUAGUAAAAAAUGGUUUAGUAUAGCAUUUUGUUUUGUUGCGCAAAAUCUGUGCAGUAUAGAUCAGUUUCCGUUCCUCUUAAAUGCCUGGAAGUUUUUUUUUUCUGGAGCAUGCCUGGAAGUAUUUUGAAGUUUUGUGUUUUCAAAAAUGCUGCCGUUAAUUCAUUUAGUUAUUUUUAUUGAGCCUUUGAUGUAGCUAGCUAUUUGUACUAGUUGUAUGCAUUGAUUGGCAACCAUAUAAAGAGCUACUGUGCCUUGGUUAAAUCAGCGUGAAGCCACCCUAACAAACCUGUCUUGUGGGAUGGAGAAAACCUCAAAUCGGAUAGGUGAAGAGAAAUGUUGAUGGGGCCUCUUCAUACAACCCUGGAAAUGCCGGAAUGGGUGGAGUGAUUAGGGAUGAACAAGACUGUUAUCUAUCAGGCUUUAUGGCUAAUCUGGAUAAAAAAGCAAUGUGGUGGCAGAAUUUUGGGGGAUGAACUACGGAGACUCCAUGGCAUGGAAUAUGGGAUACAAAAAGAUUACUCUGGCGUUGGACUCACAAGUUGGGAUACAAUUGGUAGGUGAAUCAAUCACCUACCAUUGGACUCACUUUAUACAAUUGGUAGGUGAAUCAAUCAGACACUGGAUAAACCAAGUGUGGGAGUGUAAGAUGGAGCAUUGCAGGAGAGAAACGAACAUGGCUGCUGAUUGGUUAGCAAAGCAAAAUCUUAAUAGUCAGCUAGGUUUACAAGUAUGUCCGGAACCUUCUACUCAUCUUAAGCAAAUCCUGUUAGCUGAUGUAAUUUAGGUGGCAUACCCACAUCACGCAGGGGACCUAUAGUCCUCCACUGGAGCACCAAAAAAAAAAAGGGAGAGGAGCUAUUGUGAAUAAUUGAACUGCAUCAUCUUGACUUAAGCGGAAAGGGAGAAAUGUUCGAUCUCCUGUCUUGAAUCAAAAACUACUGAAGAUGCUCUCUUUGGCUGCUUGUCCUCCUGUCCCUCUUCUUCGUCCAUCUCCUCUAAUUUUUAUCUUGUUAUGCAAAUUGUGAAUCUUCUCCUUUGUCUCCUUUUACUUUUCCGUUCUACCUUUCUGAGAUAUGCUGCUGCAUGAGCUGGGAAUCAGUUCUAAAUCUCUGCAGUUGGUUAUAAGUUUUCUGACAUUAAUUGCUGCAUUUAGUGUCCAAAUAAUGGUGAGUUUUCUGAAUUUUAUGGCCAAAAUGCUGGAAAUGGUUAUUCUGAAAUUGUUGAAUGACUUCGUAGUUAUGUGACUAUUUGUGACGGAACUUUAUGUGCUGCUGGAACAUUUACCAGUCCAUACUUUAGAUUCUGGUUAUUGCCAAAGGUAAUGACAAAGACGGGGCAGACACAUGGGUGGUGGAUAGGGGAACACGUGGACAUGGAUAGGGGGGACGCUAAAAACAGAGUAUUGAUUUUUUCUUCAAUUCCUGCAGUCUUUCCAGAUAAACCUCCAAUUGAAGCUCAAAAACAACAGGCUUUCAGCUUCUAGUAGGACUACUUGUUUGGGUAAGUUGCAGUUCAAUACUCUGCUCUUCGAUCGUUCAAUUUCUAUGUACAUUUUCAUAUAUAUUGUUGAUUCUCAAAAUUUUGUGCUAUUAUUUGCUUAUAAUGAUGAAAAUUUGGUGUUUUAAAGAUGUGGGUUUUUCUAUUUCUGCUGUGCGGAUGAGGGGUUUUGGGUGGGUUGGGUUGGUGGAGAUGGUUUAGGUAUCAUAUAUGUUGAUGAAUAACCAUUUCCUAGGAAAAUGUUUUGCUUUGAUUUUCACUUCAAUAGUUUAUUUGUUCAUUAACUAGUAAUGGGCAAUUCUUGGGUUUUUCUUUUUUUUCCCUUUUUCGAGAAUGCAAAACUUAAGAUGAGAAAGUAAAAGUUGGGGUUGGCCUCCAUGCAUUUGUUUAGAUAUAUAUCCUGGAAACUAUUGGAUAAUUUUUUAACAUCAUUACUUAAGGAAAGUUUGUAGCUUUUAGAUUUUUUGUUUUGGUUUUAAUUGAUUAAGAACAGUGAGCAGUUGAAUUGCUAUAAGAGAUGGAUACAAGUUCUUUGUCUUACCAUAUCAUGAUUGGUUUUAAAGAUAUAUGACUAUCUGUGUGAAUGUUGGUUUACAUUCCUCGCUACAUAAAUGAGGUUGUCGCAAUACUAUGGACAUAGGGGGGUGUGAAAUGGUUUGUUGCUAAUGGUUUUAUUGCAUCAAGAUAUGAACUUGAAUCAAGGCCUGUGGUCUAAGUGUAGUCAGUUUGCUUGCGGAUUGUCUGUUGUUUGAGCUGUUUGUUGUUCAUCAAGAUAUACGUCUACUAUUUGUUGCAUACUUCCUUUUCGAGUCAUUCUUCCUGAAUUCUGAGUCUUUAACAAACAAUUGAGCAAUUUCAGGUUUAGUACUAAGCUUUCCUUGAAGUAUUGCCCACGCCCAUUUGUGUUAUAGAUUCUGUUGAAUAGGACUUCUUCUCAAUGAGGGCAUCUUGUUGAGACUAGAAGAAUCAAGGUUCCUCCCGAAGUGGCUCGUUUAUGGUGUUUUUUCCUUCCAUGAAAUUGCUGGAAAUUGGAAAAGCAGAAUUAUGAAGAGUCCCGUUUCUUGUACGAUUCAAGUUCCUGUUCAGUUACCCUUACAUAGGCCCAAGGAGGUUAGCUUUGAGCUUUGGGUUUCCUGCUUGAUACUUUAUUGUUCUACUUGCUGAUAUGAAAAACUUUUUUCCCAGAUGUGGAGCACCAGAGUGAAUCCUCUCUUACAUUUCAAAUUCGUGAAUUGUAGUUUCUUUUCUAUGCAGGAGGUCUCAAGUGUAAUUACCUGUGCUGAAAAGGUAAGCUAGAUAGAUUAUGUUUAUUGCUUAUUUCAUGAAUGAACAAAUGUAAGGGAUAUUUCUACUCAGUGCAUAUUAAGUAUUCAAGCUUCUAUGUCUAUGUCCUUUGUGGAGUGUAGGCAAGAAGAACCGUUGUCAAUGACACAAAUUCUCCUGAAGAUGUAUGUGAAUAUGGAUCAUUUGACAGGUAGCCGUAUUGUUCCAAUCAAAUUAAUUACUUUGUAUGGUUCUCUUUCAUUGGUCUUUCUAUGUUCAACACUUUGUUUUUUUCCUUCUGCUUGGAUGUCAGUUCAGGCUUAUGCUGCGGCUCAUCUAUAUGAAUGGAAGUUAAAUCUCAUUGUAACUUCAUUAGCAGGAAAUCCACAAAAAUGGUCAGAAAGAUGGGGAAGAAAGAACAUCACUUGUGGCAGAAAAGAGAUUCUGCUAGGUCUGGCCAGAAAGCACUAAAUCUUGUUCGAAAUGUAUGUGUGGUUUUCUUUUGGUUGUUCUUAAAUAGGUUAUAUCUUUCACUUUUUGAAGAGUUAAGUUCUUUGUUUUGCAUGAUUGAAGGAUGAGGACCUAUUGUUUUGUUCUAAUGAAAAAUUUUCCCUAUAAAUACAGUGGUUUUCUGUGAUUAUUUGGCUUUGAUUUCUAUCUUAAGACAAAACUCAACUUGGCAGAUUUCUGGACUUCCAAAUGAAAAAGAGGCUGUGUAUGGUGCACUGGAUAAAUGGAUAGCUUGGGAGGCAGAGUUUCCUUUGAUUGCUGCAGCUAAGGCGCUAAGAAUCUUAAGGAAAAAGAGUCAAUGGGUUAGAGUAAUACAAGUACGGUGCUUGUAAGGUUUUUGGAUAUCUUUAGCUGCUGAACUUGCAUGGUUGUGAGUGCUGACCUUGCUUUAUGCAGCUCUGGUAUUGAAUGACAUUUGCUUGCUAAGUCUAGGAAAUCUCUCUCUCUCUCUCUCUCUCUCUCUCUCUCUCUCUCUCACCACACACACACACAUGCAAGCAUAUGGCCAUGGGCACAAACAAAUAUGUAGAGAGCUUGUCUUUGUCUUAAGUCAAAUGCAGACAAUGAGAACACUGCUAUUAGUAUUUUUUUCUUGGGAUAUUUUCAACAUAAAGUUAAUCUAUAUGUGGAUUUUAGUCGAAUUAUGCUUAAGAAUGCAAUAGUAAGGUUUGCUUUCCAAGAUAUCUCUUUACUUCAAUUGCAUGUCCAAGAAACUUUCUUUUCAAUAUCAUGGUAUUAGCAAUCAUGUUUCCUUUUUCAUCUGGAAAUAGACAUUGAAAUGAUGAUGGAACUUUUUAGAUGUCACUAAAUUUAAGUAUCGGGUGUUCCAUAUAUGUAUGAUAUGUAUUAUAAGUUUGUUUACAGAAAUAAUGAAUUGCAGAGUUAAACACUUUGAGUGCUGGAUUAGCUUUCUUGGUCUUUAGCUCUUGAUGGGACUGAAACAUGUUACAUUUAUAAUGCGUUGAAGAAUAAUGAAAUGGUUGAAUAGCUUUUUUGUCUUAAUUCACGCAUACUGCAUGUUUUAUGUGCAAAAAUACAAAAAUUGAUGAAGUGGCCUAUUGGUACUCUUGAUUCAUUUUGUUUCACUAUGCAAUGAUGCCUACAUCAGUAUGUUGUUAUGUGAUUAUUUAGAUAGACCACCUGCAUCUAACAAGAUCUUUGUUACUCAGUUUGCCAAGUGGAUGCUUAGCAAAGGCAAGGGACAACCAUGACAACAUAUGACUCCCUUCUGUUGGCAUUUGAUAUGGAUUGCAGGAUAGACGAAGCUGAAAGACUAUGGAAUAUGAUUUUGCACAUUCAUACCCGCUCUACCUCUAAGAAGCUAUUUUCUAGGAUGAUAUCCUUGUAUGAUCAUCACAAUAUGCCAGACAAGGUUAUUGAGGUAAACCCCUCUGGUGCCUCUCUUCCACUUUUGUUAAGGGGAACUGAUUUCGUAACUUCUCUUUUUUGUCUUGCAUUAUGGUCUUUUAUGAAAUUGUGCAAACUUAAGAACAUUUCACAAUCCUUGCAUGCUAAAUUUCAGGUAUUCGCGACAUGGAAGAGUUGGGGAUCAAGCCAGAUGAAGAUUCUCUAAGAAAGAUUGCACGUGCAUUUGGAACAUUAGGUCAAGUAGACAAAAAGAAACUAGUUCUUGAUCGCUACCAAGGUAAAUGGAAGUAUAUCCACUUCAAUGGAGAGCGUGUUAGGGUGAGAAGGAUCCAUUGUGAUGAAUAAGCUACUGAAAGAAGUGACCAAUUAAAUUUGAGACUAGUUCUGAUGUUGGUACAUGUUCUGCCCCAGUAGUUUACGCAUCCCCUUUUAGCAAUGUACAUAGGCCAUUGGCUAAAUGAUACUAUGUUGAUAACAAGAAAUCUAGUGAUUUGUCAUGUUGUAUAGGUAAAAGCAGCAGUUGGUAGAAUUGGAUGAAAUAAUUCGUUUUGUAGCUAUUAUUUUCUUUCAUUCAAGAACAUUAGAGCAUCUGUUGUGGUCUUGGACACGGCUGCGGAUGGUUAUUCGAUACCAUUCCUGGAAAUUGGUGUUUAUCUUGAAAAUAGCAAGUGCAAUUUCAAUGGCUACGGGCGUGUGGCUCUUAAGAAUCCUCUCUCAGUUUUUCCUUUAAUUUGGUUAUAAUUGUCUCUUGAUCUUAAUUUGAUACUGCUUUGUGUUUCUUCCAAGGUAAUAUUUGUUAUCUAAUGUAUAAGUACCCUUUAUAAUCAAUGGACUUGAACAUUUUACAUAUGAGAUGGAUAUGUUGAUACAAAUUCAGGGUUUAGGGCCAGAAUCAGCUGCGUUAUCAUCAUUUAAGAGUUCUGUCAUCUUAAGGAUGUUUUAGUCUCAUGUUGGAUUGUAGGGUUUCUAAUUACCCUUCUAUUUAUAGAGGAUAGAGGAUGAGUAAAAUUCUAUUCUGCUGUAAACGUAUUCAUUCCUUUUUUUUUUCUGAACUCUGUGAUGUGAAAUGCUCUGUACUUGGAAUUCGAUAUUUAAUAAUGGUUUCAUCUUCAGCGUGGUCAUAAAGAAUUGAUACCUUCGUCGUUCGUAUUAUGGGAUUCAUAACAUUUUUGGAUAAUUUGCAGUUGUAAAAAUAUGCCUGUUAAUGGAAUAGGAAUUUGGUGAAAAUUCUAAGUAAAUUAAAUAUAUAUCAAUUUGACUGCCUAUAUUGAAUCACACCAUUGGGCAAAGUAAUCAGUGAACUCUGAUUUUGAGCAUGGUGAAUAAGUUGGACAGGUUUUUCAGUUAUGUAGAAUUUGAAGAUUUUUACUGACUAAUUUUGUUAGAUUAUAAUACAGUCCAUAUUUGCCAUCAUGUCCAUAUUAUAAUACAGUCCAUAUUCGCCAAAUGAGCUCACAUGCAAAACAAGAAGUGGCUAGGCUAUGAUCCCUAGUUUCACUCCGAUGCUCAAGUCAGAAGUUGCUAGGAGUUAUAUUGAGUGAUUUAGGUUACCUACCUUUUCAAGUGAAUAAGGUGCUGGUAUUUAUAUUAGAAAAGAUAGUUUUAGCGUAGUUUAGUUUUGUCUCUUUUUCUUGGCUCUUUUGAUGGCCUGGACCUCAGUGAAAUUACUUGAAGAUUUUCUCAUGAGGCGUGGCUAAGUUUGUCUAGUCAAGAACAACGAAGGAUUUGGUUCUACUAAAUUUGUGAGAUCGAAUUAGUUUUUAUUUAUUUUCAUUAUUCACUGGUAUUUGUCCAUCUUCUGCUUUAUAUUCAUAUGGUUGUUUUAUUAUUCGAUUAUCCAGGGCCCGGAUUCUAGAUUAAUUCAAUAACCUGAAGCCAAUUAGGGUAGUUAAAUCCGUAAUUGUUUAAUUAUUCUAAACUGGUGGCAACUGGCAUGAUUGGGUUUGUGUCAGGGAAAUAGACAGGCUAACUUAAAGAGACCCUCGUAGCGUGUUGAUUGGUUAGAAUUAGGCUCUUCUAAUUAUUCAUGCAAUUAGGGAAUUGAACUUCUAUGGUCGUACCUAGGGUUAUUUCCUGAUUAGAGAAAUAGUCAACGGUCGUACCUUGGCUAUCGACAAAUUGAGGAAGAGUUGGUUGUUUAUCGCGUGUAUGACAACUAUAACUAAUUUAUCAGAUAGUAACUGGAAUAAUCCUUGCAUCUGUGAUCGAAUUAAGUGAACCAUCUCCGAAGUUGUCUCUUGGCUAGAGUUCAUCCAUUUUUAUUGUUAUUGUGAUAAUUAGUUAUUUGAGUUGUAGUUACUUUAUUUUAUUUUAAUUUAUUCCAAGUAAUUUAGUUACUCUCAUUUUCAAAAACCCCCCAUAUCUGGAACUUGAGAAGAAAUUAAAUUAUCCCCAAUCCCUGUGGAUUCGACCCUGCUUACCGCUAUAUACAGAAUUUGUAUUUUAUUUGAGCAGGUAUUUAUUAUUGCACAGGUUCGGCCCCUGUCAAUUUUUGGCGCCGUUGCCGGGGACUGGUGCCAGAUUAAUUUGUUUCUUUUUGAGUUCAUCUUGUUUUUAUUUUUAUAUAUUUAUUUUUCUCUUAUCAUUUUUUUAUUAUAUAGUUUAUGGCUUCUAACACUCCGUAUUUUGGUGAUAUACUGGAUUUUGUUUUCGGGGAAGGCAAUGAAAUUGAUUGUUUUUCUAAGUUUGCAUACUUAGAGGCAAUAAACUCUAUUAAAAAAAGAAUGGCUGCUGCAACCUGUAAAAUUUGUUAUGCCAGGGAUCAUUCAACCGGUAUGUGCCCCGAAUAUCAAGAUAAUCUGGAUGUCCCAAUCAAUAAUUAUGGAGAUUUUUCACCCUGGUCUCAAAUGUGGUAUAACCCUAAUCCAUACGGGUAUGAUCAAGGAGGGUGGGAUAACUCCAAUUAUAAUUAUCCAACGGGGCCAAUGAAUUUUCAGCAGUAUGAGUCUCAAGAAUCAUCAUCUAUGUCAGGUAUGUCUCUUGAAGAGAUAGUUGAAUUAACAUAUCAAAUUCAACAGGAGACACAAGUGAGUAGGCGUAACCUAGCAGAUCAAAUGGAACAAUUGACAUCCAAGAUAGAGCGAUUAGCUUCUCACCUUGAAGAAUUGCCCUCACAAACCAACAUUAGCCUUGAGGAAGAUGAGAGUGCAAUUAUCCGGUCAAAUGAUAUGGAACUGCAAGAGCUUCAAAGAGACGAAUCUAAAGAUGCAGUUGAAAAGGAAGUUAAUGUGCAGAAAAUGAGCCCCCAAUAUCAACCAGUCCAAGUGAAUGAAUCCAGUGAACGAUCUCCAAAUGCGGUGACAUCUUCUCCACUCCUUAAUCAAUACUUUCCUGACUCCUAUUCUUUAACUCCUGUUACUGAAAUUGAUUUUAUUAUACCAGACGAUUUUGAAUUUCAUGCCAGGAAUAAGUUAAGAGUCAUGAUGGCAAAAUAUUUCGAACCAAUAAGUGCUCGGGAUGGAGGAGUGGGUGAAGAUUUAAGAUCAUCACUUGUUUGUUUGGCGCCAUCUACUAAUCCAUGGAAGACCGUAGCUCGGGUGGUCAAGAAUUACUCCAUUUACGAGGGCUAUCAGGAUUACAUAGAAGAUGAAUCACUGAAACGAGCUACACGAUUUUAUCCUCCGUGAACAAGCAUAGCAAUGUCUAGCCAAAGACAUUAAAGAAAGGCGCUGCUUGGGAGGCAACCCAAGGCUCUUUGUUUUAGUUUUCUUAUGUUUUUGGAGUUUUUGUUAAGUGUUAGUUGCAUUUAGUGAUUUGUUGUUUGGUGGCAGGGAAUUAGCGGUUAGGCGUACCCACGCCAAGUGGUCACGCCUGAGAAAAAGGAAUUUUCGCUCAGGUUCUGCGAACUCCAUAGUAGUUAGACGUGCCCACGCCAGAUGGUCACGCUUGAGGGAAAGGAAAUUUUCGUUCAGGAUCUGCGGACUCUAUAGCAGUUAGACGUGCCCACGCCUAGGCCAGAGGUUCCUUAUUAAAAAAAAAAAAAAAAAGAGAUAAAAUUUUUACAAAAGCAAUUUCAAUUUUUGGAGAAUUUCGGUAAGACUAGUUAAAAAAAAAAAAAAAACCAUUUUAUUUUCUUUUUCUUCUUCUCUUCUUUCUUUCUUUCUUCUUUUUCUUUCUUCCUUUCUUUUCUUUCUUUCUUUUCCUUUUCUUCUUCUUCUUCCCCGCUGCCUGGCUUUUUCUUUUUCCUUCUUUUCUUUUUCGGCUGACGCUCCUCCAUCGCGCGUCGCCGCCUCCCUCGCUCACCUCCAACUCGCCGCGCCUCUCUCUUCCCACCAAGCAGCCGCGCGCCUCCCUCGCUCAUCGUCGCGAGCUCUCGCCCAGGAGCCGCCGCGACCGCCGCCGCUCCCCUGCUGAUGGCCAUCCACGCGCAGCAGCGCUCGUCCAGCCCGCGCCGCGCCAUCGCUUCUCCUCGCUAUCUCCCUCACUCUCCCUCACGAUCCACCACCAAGGAGCUCCACCUCGCGCGCGCGACCCCAGCCCGCGCCGCCUGUCCACGCCUCUCCACCAGCUCCCCACGGCGCUGCUACCCCUGGGCUUACGCCACCACCAGCUCACCCAAGGCGCUCCGCCCUUCUUUUCUCCCGCCGUGGACUCAGCCUCCGCCGCGCCCCCCGCUCCAGCUCAGCCUCACCUCGCGGCCAGGAGCCCCCCUCGCGCACCACCAGGCGAGACAACCCCACCCGCGAGCUUUUCUGUCGUGCGGCUGUCACCACCUGUCCUAUUUAGACAGGUGGAGGUAUUGUGAAUUCUGCCCCAAUUAGUUUCACUCUCUGAAAUUUGUGGUUGGAUUUCUUGAUUGAUAAAAGAAGGUGAUAAUUUGGGCAUUUUCUAGGGUCAAUUUUGGACAAAAUUGGGUUUAAUUGCUAUCUGUGGGGGUGUCUUCUGCUAUUUAUUGAAUUGUUGGCCUUUUGAUUACUUAUUCCCUGCGACUCACCAGUGGUACUGGUUGAGAUCUUUUGCCUAUCGUUGUGGCUUAUAUUUGAAGAUAUUUGCUUAUUUUGCAGUUUCAGUUCUUAUGGUUGAGUUGCUGCCGUUGAAUUUAAUUCUUUCCUGUCUGUGCACCAGUGGUACUGGUUGCGGUGUUGCUUACAAUUCUUAAAUUUUCUCGAAUUCUAAUCGGUAGUUGCUGGAAUUGCUUGUUUGUUGGGAUUCUUAAAAUUCUUAAGGCUUGGUAUCUUGAAGUGGCUACUUGAAUGUCCACUUGGUGACAUUUGUUGAGUUUCACUUGCUCCAAUUGGUUGAAUUCAUUGCUCUGUUGGGGUCCCUACUGGUAUCACUUGACUUCUGCUUUGUUAGUUUCUGUAUCGUGCCCCUUGAUCUUAUUUUGACUGAAUUGGAGACCCAGUGCAUAUUCAUUCAAUUUGCUAUGUUGUUAGGGUACUUUUCUAGCCUUUGGGGUGCCUCAGUCGUGUAUUGUAUUAAUUGGGUUGGCCAUGUGGUUCCCUCCUUUCCUGUGUAUACACCAGUGGUACUGGUUAUGCUAAUUUGUUUACAAUUUCUUAUUUCGAUAUGAUUGAGCAUCUGUGACUGAGUAUCCUUCGAUCUUGCUGCUUUGUUGGGAUCGUUUUUAGUGUCAAUUGAGUAUCAUUUGGUACUUUUUGCCUGGAGUCUAUUGAGCUGCCUUUGGUUGGGGUUUAUUGCAUUUAAUUGGUGCAUUGGAUGGCUCCUGUGCCAUUUCCGUUGCUUAUUGAAGUAGGUUGCCUCUAUUCGCCUUAUGUGGGAGUAUUUUGUCCUUUUCAUUUCAAUUGCUAAAUUCAUUGGAGCACUUGUUGCGAUUUUGGGAUGCAUUGUUAUUGCAUUUGGCUAGGCAGGGGACCACUCAGGGGUUAACGACUGGGUCCAACUCCGAAUGCAAGUUGAGCGACUAGAGACUCGAAUGACCCACAGUGACGUCGACUUGCAUAACAUGGUGCAGAAUUCGGCAGCACUCCGCCCGACCCACCCUUGUUCUGACAACUUCAGGGAAGUACCGUUGCCCUUCUCCUUCCUUUUGCUAUUAGUUUAUCACAUUGAGGGCAAUGUGUGAAUUAGGUGUGGGGGGGGAUCAGUUUGGGUGCUAGUAUUUCCAGUUUUCGAUUUUUAGGUGUUUUUCCUUUGUUUUUAGUUUGAUAUUGAUCUCCUUUUCAUUUAUUUCUUUUAUUAGUGGUCAGUUCUUAAAUGAAUACCAAGUUUUGAUGCUGGAGUGUUGUCUCUAAUUAUGCUAUUGCCAAGUUUUAGUAAUAAAAAUGUAUCAAGUUGAUGUGGUUGAGUUCAGGAACAUCUCUUUGGUGAAUAUCAAUAAUUGCUUAACUUUUUUUUUAAAUUUUUGGUUAACUUUUCUAGGCAUAGGGAAUGAUUGUUGGCAGUUUUCAUGUGAAUUGGUCCAGUUAUUAAUUUUAGUUCUCCAUGUCUGGAAAUUUGAGGCUGGCUGCUGUUAUUAUUGUGUUGCUUUUAGACAUCGUGCUAUAUGGUUGUAAAUAAGAGUUGACUGUACUCCGCUAGUGGUUACUACUGAGUAACCGGGGAUCUUCACCUAAAGUGUCGAUUCUCGCGUCAAAAAGUAGUAAUUGCUAUGAGUACGUGGUCACGUGGCGAUAGAAGCUUAGUAACCGGGCUCCUUCAUCUGGCCAAUGUUGGAGUUCGCGUCAAAAGGCUCAAAUGGCUAGCGACUAAGUCUUUUGUUACUAUUGAAGAAAAAAACAAUCAAAAAAAAAAAAGAGAGAGAAAAGUAGAAAAAAAAAGUGAAAAAAAAGUGAAGGUUGUGUUAGUGUGUAAUAAAAGUCAGCUUGCCGAAUUAUGGGUUUAAUGUUGAGAUUUUGGUUAAUAGCUGGACCAUUUACUGAUAAAUGUGAGCAACCAUUCCUUUUUCUUAGAUUAGUUUGCUUUAAAUUGGAGAAGUUGGUGGUUGGAAAGCUAACCGGAGUGGUCUUUCUUGGAUCUUAACUGUGAUGCUUGAUAUAUGUUUUACUGGGUACCUUGGCAAUACGGUAGUUGGAGCAAUAACCAUUAUUAAAUUUCGGUGUCUGUAUACUUUUCCCAUGCUUGAGGGCAAGCAUGAUUCAGGUGUGGGGGGAAUUGAUAGGGUGUUAAUUGUUAGUAAUUUUAUUGUUAAUUUCCCCCUUUGUCCUUGCCAAAUAUUGUUUUAAUUGUUGAUAUAUACUCAUUUUUGGUAUUUGGACCUAUCUACAGGAAGUAGAACUGAAAAAUGCUAAAAAGGGAAUUUUAUUGAGGAAAAUCCUCCACACCUUAGAGCCUCCAGCAGAUAUACAAGUCGGGCCCAUAUGGUGCUACCAAAAACUCCAUUUUCGGUUGCUGAUGGAGAGCUCUCAUUAUCGGUAGUUGGCUUGUACGUGUAGGAGUCCUCCUACCAAAAGGAAACAAGAAGAGUGGAAUUGGCAGGAGCUUUCCUCUUGUACUUGGACUUCCAAUUUAUUCGGCGGGGACCACAGGAAAAAGAAAGGCAUUAGUCAUUGGACUUUGGAAGGAAAGAAACGUAGGAAGCUUUGAGAGUUGUUUUUGUUCCUUAUUUGUGGGGACCACGGAGAGAAGUGAAGCAAUUUGUUUUAGAUUAGGAGACAAUUCUUUUCCUUUGGCCGCGGCUUUAUCUUUGGGGAAUUGAGAGUUUUUUUUAGGAUAGUUUUAGUUUUGUUUCUUUCUUGGCUCUUUUGAUGGCCUGGACCUCAUUGGAAUUACUUGAA
rnacentral:lncRNA from 1 species